rnacentral:misc_RNA from 1 species
CGAGAGUGAAAACUCCCUAAAACCAUUUGUUUAUCUACCUGUUUGUUGCUUCGGCAGGCGGUCCCCCAGGGGGCUGUACCUGCAAAGGCGUCUGCCGAAGGCACCCAGAACUCUUGCUGUCAGUUGUCAUCUGAGCUAUAACAAAAAUGAAUCA